rnacentral:lncRNA from 1 species
GGGUUCAAUGUCCGGUACCAAAAAUGAAUAUAUAAAUAAAUAAAUAAAAUUAUAAUUUUAAUUAUACGCUUAAAAAGGAUGCCUUUUAAUAGAGAUAAAUUACACCUCCAUAGUUUAAAAAAAUAGUGAAAACAUAAGGUUCUUAUUUACAAAUACUUGGGCUCUUCUUGUCCCUUUCCUUUCUCAGGCUCACAUAUUGAAAUUCUUCCAAAUAACCUAAAUUUGUUAAAAUUUAUAUUGUUUUAGUGACAGAGAUCUCAAAUAAUGUUUUUGUUUUAUUUUGGGGGUAUGGGGGAUUGAAGUUAGGGCACUUGACCACAACCCCAGCCCUAUUUUGUAUUUUAUUUAGAGACAGGGUCUCACUGGGUUGCUUAGCACCUUGCCUUGCUGAGGCUGGCUUUGAACUUGCCAUCCUCCUCUCUCAGCCUCCCGAGCUGUUUGAAUUACAGGUAUGCAACACCGCACCUGGCCUCAAAUAAUGUUUUAAACAACAAAUAAGCUGGCAUGGUGGCUCAUGUCUGUAUGGCCAGCUACUCAGAAGGCUAAGGAAGGAGGAUUCAAAUUCAAGGUAGUCUAGGUAACUUGGUGAGAUCAGGUCUCGAAAUAAAAUAAAAACAUUUGGGAUGUAGCUCAUGAUAGAGUGCUUGCCUAGAACGUGUAAAGUCCUGGGUUUAAUCCCCAGCACAGCAAAAACAAAAUAAAAACAAAGAAUUCCUUUUUAUCUUUUUCUGUUCCUAGAAUAGGUCAGUUUUUCCCCUUGCAUUAUGAUCUUUGCACAUGUGCUUCUUUCUAUACCUGAAACCCUCUUCCUUUCUCUCUUACAACUGGCUUCUGCUGUCCUAAUGGUCCUUACCAUCACAUUCUCAGACAGACCUCCCCUGUCCAUUUGGGCUGAGGUAGGUUCCCUUUGUUAUUUUCAAACAGAGUACCCAGAUAAUUCACUUCAUAAUUUUCACAAUAAUUACCUACUGAAAAUCUUCUAUGUGAAAGAUUCUAUUCUAUGGGCAAUGAAAUCUUAAUUCCUUCUUCUGGUUACUGUGGUGCUUGGGACAGAAUUCAGAACCCCACUGGGUUCUACCACUGGGCUACACCCCC